rnacentral:snRNA from 1 species
GUGCUCCCGUCAGCAGCACAUAUAUUAAUACUGAAAGGAUACAGAGAAGAUCCAUGGCCCCUGUGCAAGAUGACCCACAAAUUGGUGAACCGUUCCAUACUUUA